rfam:Capsicum annuum cultivar Zunla-1 chromosome 4, whole genome shotgun sequence
AGGAGCCAUAUGAGGUGAAAAUCUCACGUACGGUUCUGUAAUAGUGAUGGGCACAGUGAUAUUAUUAUUGACUAUGAU